GAUGAACGCUAGCUACAGGCUUAACACAUGCAAGUCGAGGGGCAGCAUGUCGGUUGCUUGCAACCGACGAUGGCGACCGGCGCACGGGUGAGUAACGCGUAUCCAACCUACCCUUGUCCAUCGGAUAACCCGUCGAAAGGCGGCCUAACACGAUAUGCGGUUCACAGCAGGCAUCUAAGGUGAACGAAAUGUGAAGGAGAAGGAUGGGGAUGCGUCUGAUUAGCUUGUUGGCGGGGUAACGGCCCACCAAGGCGACGAUCAGUAGGGGUUCUGAGAGGAAGGUCCCCCACAUUGGAACUGAGACACGGUCCAAACUCCUACGGGAGGCAGCAGUGAGGAAUAUUGGUCAAUGGGCGAGAGCCUGAACCAGCCAAGUAGCGUGCAGGAUGACGGCCCUAUGGGUUGUAAACUGCUUUUAUAAGGGAAUAAAGUGAGCCUCGUGAGGCUUUUUGCAUGUACCUUAUGAAUAAGGACCGGCUAAUUCCGUGCCAGCAGCCGCGGUAAUACGGAAGGUCCGGGCGUUAUCCGGAUUUAUUGGGUUUAAAGGGAGCGUAGGCCGGAGAUUAAGCGUGUUGUGAAAUGUAGAUGCUCAACAUCUGCACUGCAGCGCGAACUGGUUUCCUUGAGUACGCACAAAGUGGGCGGAA
rnacentral:rRNA from 1 species